rnacentral:rRNA from 1 species
UACAGAGACUGCAAGCGUUAUUCGAAUUCACUGGGCGUAAAGGGUGCGCAGGCGGCCCAGUGUGUCAGGUGUGAAAUCCCGAGGCUUAACCUCGGAACUGCGCCUGAAACUACUUGGCUAGAGUACUGGAGAGGGUAACGGAAUUCACGGUGUAGCAGUGAAAUGCGUAGAUAUCGUGAGGAACACCAGGGGCGAAGGCGGUUACCUGGACAGUUACUGACGCUCAGGCACGAAAGCGUGGGGAGCAAAAGGG